UUUUAGCCCAGAUAGCAACGUAAACCCCGGAUGACUGCAAGUUAGUAUUUCUUGACGUAAAAGAGCGCCUUUAGAAGCUCCUUUUAUGUCUUAGAAAUACAACUUGCAGGAGGAGGAGUUGUAGUGCAUAGCUGGAAAUAGC
rnacentral:misc_RNA from 1 species